CGUAGGGUGCGAGCGUUGUCCGGAAUUAUUGGGCGUAAAGAGCUUGUAGGUGGUUUGUCGCGUCUGCUGUGAAAAUCCGGGGCUCAACCCCGGACUUGCAGUGGGUACGGGCAGACUAGAGUGUGGUAGGGGAGACUGGAAUUCCUGGUGUAGCGGUGGAAUGCGCAGAUAUCAGGAGGAACACCGAUGGCGAAGGCAGGUCUCUGGGCCAUUACUGACACUGAGAAGCGAAAGCAUGGGGAGCGAACAGGAUUAGAUACCCUGGUAGUCCAUGCCGUAAACGUUGGGAACUAGGUGUGGGUCUCAUUCCACGAGAUCCGUGCCGCAGCUAACGCAUUAAGUUCCCCGCCUGGGGAGUACGGCCGCAAGGCUA
rnacentral:rRNA from 1 species